rnacentral:rRNA from 1 species
GGGCUCACACAAGCGGUGGAGGAUGUGGCUUAAUUCGAGGCUACGCGAAGAACCUUACCUAGACUUAACAUGUUUGAGAAUCUCUGUGAAAGCAGAGAGUGCCUUUCGGGGAACUCUUACGUAGGUGCUGCAUGGCUGUCGUCAGCUCGUGUCGUGAGAUGUCGGGUUAAGUCCCUUAACGAGCGCAACCCUUGUCCUUAGUUGCCAGCGGGUCAUGCCGGGGACUCUAGGGAGACCGCCGGUGUUAAACCGGAGGAAGGUGGGGAUGACGUCAAGUCUUCAUGGCCUUUAUGUCUAGGGCUGCACACGUCCUACAAUGCAACGUACAAAGCGACGCGAAAUCGCGAGAUCAAGCAAACCGCACAAAACGUUGCCCAGUUCGGAUUGCAGGCUGAAAUUCGCCUGCAUGAAGCCGGAAUCGCUAGUAA